CGGGGUGUGGCGCAGUUUGGUAGCGCGCUUGCUUUGGGAGCAAGAAGCCGCGGGUUCAAAUCCCUCCACCCCGACCA
rnacentral:tRNA from 1 species